rnacentral:lncRNA from 1 species
GAUUUAUAAGUCUCCUUUUAGGAUAAGAGCACGCCUUGUUCUGUACUCGCUCCCCAGGAGAGUACCUGGAAGAUAGUAGACCAUCAAAGCUAAGUAGUCACUUAAGGACUGGAGCAUAAAUGCAAAAAAAGAGAAAUAUUUCCAAAAGUAAUUUAUAUGGGUCUAAAUUUUAAGAACUAAUGUUAUUAAUGACCUUACUAUAUUUUAGCAUUUUGUUCUUGAAAUACUACUUAUAUAGUUACAACCUAAGCAAAUGUAAUAAAGAAUAAUACUUAGAUUUGAGGUCAUAUGCAGGUAUGGUUAUAUAAAUACAUAUGACUGUGUACUUAAUCCUUG